rnacentral:misc_RNA from 1 species
CUGCACCCGUACAGUAAAGUAGAGACGAGAAUAAGAAUGGUAUUGUAGUCUUUCGGUCGUCAAAGUGAGUUGCUCGCAGUGUAGUUUGUUGUUCGAAACUGUGACGUAUGCUCCCUUGAAGCUCCAUAUUUAAGUUACAAACCCUCAGUUGUGCCUGAAAUCUAAUCAAAAUGUGUGAUAACAAUUCGACACAAAGUAUAGCGGACUAUUUAGCUCAGUUGUUGAAAGACAGAAAGCAAUUAGCUGCUUUUCCCAAUGUGUUUAUUCACGUCGAGCGUCUUUUAGACGAAGAAAUUGCCAAAGUGAGGGCAAGUCUAUUUCAAAUAAAUGGAGUUAAAAAGGAACCUUUAGUGUUACCUGAACCUGAAGGACAAGUGAUGACACUCACGGAAAAAGUCUAUGUACCAGUUAAGGAACAUCCAGAUUUUAAUUUCGUCGGGAGGAUAUUAGGACCCCGAGGUAUGACAGCCAAACAAUUGGAACAGGAAACUGGAUGUAAAAUUAUGGUUCGAGGAAAGGGUUCGAUGAGAGACAAAAAGAAGGAAGAUCAAAACAGAGGAAAACCGAAUUGGGAGCAUCUUUCCGACGAUCUUCAUGUACUUUUAACAGUAGAAGAUACAGAAAAUCGAGCAAAAGUCAAGAUGGCUCGUGCUGUAGAAGAAGUGAAAAAAUUAUUAGUACCUCAAGCUGAUGGUGAAGAUGAGCUUAAGAAAAGGCAGCUAAUGGAACUAGCCAUCAUUAAUGGAACAUACAGGGAUUCUAGUUCAAAAACAACAUCUGCAGCUGUAUGUGAUGAAGAGUGGGCACGUGUUGCAGUUGCAGCAGCUGAAACACAAAGGCUUUUGUCUCCAGCUAUUCCUGGAUUGGCGACUCCGUUGAGAACACCCGCAACGCCUUUGGGUGCCCCUCUAAUCUUGUCACCGCGCAUGUCUGUGCCGACAACGGGUGCAUCCAUACUUAACGGGUCCGCCCCACCAGGAUCUCUGUUGUCGCCCGGGGAAACCCAUGGGUUGAUUUACACCCCGUACACAGACUAUACCAACUAUGCAGCCCUGGCAGCUUCGCCACUUCUCACGGAGUACGCCGCUACCGAACAUUCUGGCAAUUACGGGGUUUCAAGAGGUGCAGAGCAACUUGCGUUCACUGGUUUUUAUGUCUAUUAAGUAAUUUUUCUUUCUCGUUUGGAACACAAGCUUUGCCACCUUCUAUAUAGGUGUAUUUAUAAACAGUGCCGCUGCUGUUGCUGCUAAGCAGCGUAGACAUUUGGGCCAGAUCAGAGAACAUCCCUACCAAAGAG